rnacentral:rRNA from 1 species
AUUGAACGCUGGCGGCAUGCUUUACACAUGCAAGUCGAACGGCAGCGCGGGCUUCGGCCUGGCGGCGAGUGGCGAACGGGUGAGUAAUGCAUCGGAACGUGCCCAGUAGUGGGGGAUAGCCCGGCGAAAGCCGGAUUAAUACCGCAUACGACCUGAGGGUGAAAGCGGGGGACCGAAAGGCCUCGCGCUAUUGGAGCGGCCGAUGUCGGAUUAGCUAGUUGGUAGGGUAAAGGCUUACCAAGGCGACGAUCCGUAGCUGGUCUGAGAGGACGACCAGCCACACUGGGACUGAGACACGGCCCAGACUCCUACGGGAGGCAGCAGUGGGGAAUUUUGGACAAAGGGGGCAACCCUGAUCCAGCCAUGCCGCGUGCGGGAAGAAGGCCUUCGGGUUGUAAACCGCUUUUGUUCGGGAAGAAAUCCUCUGGGCUAAUACCCCGGGGGGAUGACGGUACCGGAAGAAUAAGCACCGGCUAACUACGUG